ensembl:snRNA U1 U1 spliceosomal RNA
CUACUUAACUGGCAGGGGAGAUAUCAUGAUCACAAACGUGGUUUCCCCACGGCGACGCUUAUCCAUUGCACUCCGGAUGUGCUGACCCCUGUGAUUUCCCCAAAUGUGGGAAACUCGACUGCAUAAUUUGUGGUAGUGGGGGACUGUGUUCGCACUUUCUUCUG